rnacentral:lncRNA from 1 species
GUGGCUAAUUAAGUAGUGGGAGAGUCACCGGAAGAUUGUCGGAGAUUUGUCCAGCAGGUGACAUCUCCAUCUCAGCUUCUGCUCCCACAUGAUGAUUAUUCUCCAUCUGUACGAUAAUCAUAGAAAUAGAGAGAGAAAAAGUAAAAGAGCACAAAACAGAAGAUAAAAGGGGGAACAAAUGAAAACCCAGGUAAGGAAAAGGCGUACUUAUCGCCGGAGGAGAAGCUGUAGAGCUUGCCGGAGGCGGAGACGACGAGAAGAGCGACGGAUGCGUCACAGAGAACAGAAAGCUGACGAGCUUUCUCGAUGAGACCGUUGCGACGUUUGGAGAAGGUGACUUGUCGGCUACUUUUGUUCUCAAUUCGCUUGAUUUCUAGUUUUUUUCUUCCCAUGGCUUCUCUCCGAGAGGGCUUUGUGCCCUAAUUUGAUCCUCAGGUUUGGGUUCAAGUCGCCGGAGAUACUAAGCGUUUUCUCUUUCUAUUUUUUUUUUUCCUUUUCUCGCUUUAUUUCUUUCUAUUUUUUGUGCCUAUCUACUUUUUCUUCGUCGGGCCAGAUAUUUUUUUUUUUUUGGGGGUAAACGAGAGUGAUGCAAAAAAACCAAAUAUGUGAAUAAAAACGUUGUGUUUUGAAGACAAGAUUGCCACGUGUACCGC